rnacentral:lncRNA from 1 species
UCCCACUGAUGCCGUGCAUCUCAUCUAACAGUUAUUGAUGAUACGCACAUCGAUGCAUAGACAACUCAUUAUCCAGAUGCUUCUUUAAGCAUAUUAUAGUGACUUGGUCCCUAAGUCAUGAGAGCUCAGAUAAAAUAUAUUACCUUACUCCUUAGUUAAGCCCGACCCACGUUCAUUAGCAGAUGUGAAGCUGUCAUUGAGUCCCUCAGAUAAUACAUAUUAGGCCCAACCCCAUCUUCAUCCUAGAGCAAUUCUUUU